AGAGUUUGAUCCUGGCUCAGGACGAACGCUGGCGGCGUGCUUAACACAUGCAAGUCGAACGAAGAGCGAUGGGAGCUUGCUCCUAUCAAUCUUAGUGGCGAACGGGUGAGUAACGCGUAAUCAACCUGCCCUUCAAUGGGGGACAACAGUUGGAAACGACUGCUAAUACCGCAUACGAUCGUAAUUCGGCAUCGAGAUACGAUGAAAGGUGGCCUCUAUUUAUAAGCUAUCGUUGAAGGAGGGGAUUGCGUCUGAUUAGCUAGUUGGAGGGGUAACGGCCCACUAAGGCAAUGAUCAGUAGCCGGUCUGAGAGGAUGAACGGCCACAUUGGGACUGAGACACGGCCCAAACUCCUACGGGAGGCAGCAGUGGGGAAUCUUCCGCAAUGGACGAAAGUCUGACGGAGCAACGCCGCGUGAGUGAUGAAGGUCUUCGGAUUGUAAAGCUCUGUUAAUCGGGACGAAAGAGCCUAGUGUGAAUAAUGCUAGGAAGUGACGGUACCGGAAUAGAAAGCCACGGCUAACUACGUGCCAGCAGCCGCGGUAAUACGUAGGUGGCAAGCGUUGUCCGGAAUUAUUGGGCGUAAAGCGCGCGCAGGCGGAUCUGCCAGUCUGUCUUAAAAGUUCGGGGCUUAACCCCGUGAUGGGAUGGAAACUACAGAUCUAGAGUAUCGGAGAGGAAAGUGGAAUUCCUAGUGUAGCGGUGAAAUGCGUAGAUAUUAGGAAGAACACCAGUGGCGAAGGCGACUUUCUGGACGAAAACUGACGCUGAGGCGCGAAAGCCAGGGGAGCGAACGGGAUUAGAUACCCCGGUAGUCCUGGCCGUAAACGAUGGGUACUAGGUGUAGGAGGUAUCGACCCCUUCUGUGCCGUAGUUAACGCAAUAAGUACCCCGCCUGGGGAGUACGACCGCAAGGUUGAAACUAAAGGAAUUGACGG
rnacentral:rRNA from 1 species